UACGGAGGGUGCAAGCGUUAUCCGGAUUCACUGGGUUUAAAGGGUGCGUAGGUGGGCUAGUAAGUCAGUGGUGAAAUCUCCGGGCUUAACCCGGAAACUGCCAUUGAUACUAUUAGUCUUGAAUACCAUGGAGGUGAGCGGAAUAUGUCAUGUAGCGGUGAAAUGCUUAGAUAUGACAUAGAACACCAAUUGCGAAGGCAGCUAACGAAACUAUAACUGACACUGAGGCUCGAAAGUGUGGGGAUCAAACAGG
rnacentral:rRNA from 1 species